GAUGAACGCUGGCGGCGUGCCUAAUACAUGCAAGUCGAGCGAACGGACGAGAAGCUUGCUUCUCUGAUGUUAGCGGCGGAAGGGUGAGUAACACGUGGAUAACCUACCUAUAAGACUGGGAUAAGUUCGGGAAACCGGAGCUAAUACCGGAUAAUAUUUUGAACCGCAUGGUUCAAAAGUGAAAGACGGUCUUGCUGUCACUUCUAGCUGGAUCCGCGUUGCAUUAGCUAGUUGGUACGGUAGCGGCUUAGCCAGGCAACGAUGGAUAGCCGACCUGCGAGGGUGACGGGCAACAGGGCAGCUGAGACGCCGUCCCGACCCCUACGGGAGGCACCGCUCGGGAUUCUUCCGGAGGGAGCGGUAGCCAGACGGAGGCAAGCGGCGGAAGUGAGGCGCGUCGACGGAUCGUAGAACACUGUUGUUAUCGAGUAGCAUACGUCUAUCGAACCGGGCGCAUUUUGACGGUAGCGAAACAGAAAGCCCCGGCUAACUACGUG
rnacentral:rRNA from 1 species